rnacentral:rRNA from 1 species
AGUAAUACAUAAGUAACCUGCCCUAGACAGGGGGAGUAACUAUUGGAAACGAUAGCUAAGACCGCAUAGGUACGGACACUGCAUGGUGACCGUAUUAAAAGUGCCUCAAAGCACUGGUAGAGGAUGGACUUAUGGCGCAUUAGCUGGUUGGCGGGGUAACGGCCCACCAAGGCGACGAUGCGUAGCCGACCUGAGAGGAUGACCAGCCACACUGGAACUGAGACACGGUCCAGACUCCUACGGGAGGCAGCAUG